UAUGUCCUACGGGGGGCAGCAGUGGGGAAUAUUGCACAAUGGGGGGAACCCUGAUGCAGCAAUGCCGCGUGAAGGAUGAAGGUUUUCGGAUUGUAAACUUCUUUUGUACGGGAAGAAGAAAGUGACGGUACCGUAAGAAUAAGCCACGGCUAACUACGUGCCAGCAGCCGCGGUAAUACGUAGGUGGCAAGCGUUAUACGGAUUUACUGGGUGUAAAGGGCGAGUAGGCGGGAUUGCAAGUCAGAUGUUAAAACUAUGGGCUCAACCGAUAGAGUGCACUUUAAACUGCAGGUAUUG
rnacentral:rRNA from 1 species